UGUUUUAUGCCAGAAUGUCCUUUGAUGCAAAUAAUAUUCUCAAGGAACUGGUUUCAUCCAGCCAGGCUUUGCCGACUUUUGAGGUGUUUGAAGUUUUAUGGGCCACGAGGAAUGUUUGUGUUCCGGGCUGUGGUGUUUUUGAUGCUAAGCUUGAAAAACGCAAGAUUAUAAUGAAUGAAAUGAAGGAGUGUGAUAUAGGUGCCAACCCUGUCAUAUAGACAACACUAAUGGAUGCUUACUUUAAGGCAGGGAAUCGCAUGGAAGCUAUCAAUCUGCUAGAAAAAAUGUGGGACUUGGUAUUGAGGCUACAGUUGUGACAUUUUGUGCAUUAAUUGAUGGUUUGUGCAAAAGGGAUUUAGUUCAAGAGGCAAUUUGUUACUUCGGUAGUAUGCCAGACUUUGAUUUGCAACCCAAUGUUGCAGUCUAUACGGCUCUUCUUGAUGGUCUUUGUAAAAAUAAUUGUAUUGGAGCUGCAAAGAAGCUGUUUGAUGAAAUGCAAGAUAAAAAUACGAUUCCAGAUAAAAUUGCUUAUACUGUGAUAAUAGAUGGGAAUUUGAAGCAUGGCAACUUUCAAGAAGCAUUGAACAUGCGAAUCAAGAUGAUGGAAAUGGGUAUAGAACUUGAUCUGCACACAUGCACUGCCCUGGCUUGGGGGUUGUCACAAUGUGGCCAAGUGCAGCAAGCAAGAAAGUUUCUCGCUGAGAUGAUUGGAAAGGGUAUCAUUCCUGAUGAGUUCUCUGUAUUCGUCUAUUGAGAAAAUGUUAUGAGCUAGGAAAUAUUGAUGAAGCUGUUGAAAUGCAAGAUGAAUUGGUGGAGAAAGGUCCAAUUCAUGGCAACCGAAAUUAUUCAGUUCCUAAUGUCCAACCUUGAGAUGAUUUGGAUUUUUCUUAUAUAGAAAAAUAGAAACGCAAGGAACAGCACCUUUGAUUGGAUGGGUAGCUGCGCAGACAUGGUAUUUGAUGCUCUUUUUCUGAUUUCAAUGUGGCUUCAUGAGCUCUUUGCAAAUGCUAAUACGUUAAAAGAGUUUCCUGCUUAUAGCGUUAUGGCGGCUGUUAGAAGAAAACUCGUAGCAUUGAUGCCUGAUUCAAGACUUCCAAGCGUUACUUUGGAGGUAAGGGAAAAGGUUGCAAUGCACGGCAGCUGAAGUGGAUGCUGCAGGAGUUCUGGCUGACAAUAAUUUAGGAUCUCAUGAUCAGUGGCGGCUUUCAAACAUCACUGCCUUUUUAGAAACAGCUUGCAAUGCAAUUGUUUUCCUUCCUUUUCUUUUUCUUAAAGUGAGGAGAAAUAAAUUUGAAGAAAAGCUUAUUCAAACAAGUUGGUAGCAUUCAGAAUUGUCCGUUCAAUGGCUUUUUA